rnacentral:lncRNA from 1 species
GAACUUUGUGGGGAAAAUGGGAGACUUUUCAAGGACAUGUCAGAAAGCAUUAAGGAAAAAUAGAGAGUCACCAGCAGUUCUUUUUUUUUUUUUUCUUUUAGGGUGUAGCAAACAUAGGCAUGGAUAUUGACACAAAAAAACUUACUAUUGUGAGGAGAUAAAGCAGGCUCAUUUGGGAAGAAGAGAAAAGGUGGUUUUCUAUUCAGAGGCUGCUCAGAAUACCAUUUCUAUAGUGAUGAUGCUGAGACACAGGACUUUCCCCUCUGCAUUUCACAGGAUGUAAGCCUUGAUUGUCGAUAGGCUAGAUCACCAGGGCGGAGCCAGGGAGCAGACACAAACACAGCACGCUCAAUUUCUUUGAGCUGAGGGAAAAAAAUUGAAAGCACAAAAUGUUAGACUAAAUGUAUUUAUAUGAGUGAGUAUGACUAAGAAUCACAGACAAAACUAAAUUAUGAUUUAAAGUAAAUUCAUCAUUUUACCUUGAAUAAAAACACUAUAAACUAUUACUAAAGAAUGUAGCAAAGCAUGAUAUUAUAUAUACCAUUAUAUAUGUAUCUUAUUACAUAUUAUUACAUAAGAUGCAUCCGAUUAUAUACUAAAAACUAUAUUGUUACCAUUUUUUUGUUGAGACAACUACAUCAUUAUUUUUCCUGUGUCUAAUUACUCAACAAGAGUUCACUAGUAUUAUAUGUUAUUUAAUAAAUAAAUACACUAAAUUUUCUAGGAAUAUCUAGAGAUAUUCUUUUGAAGGUAAAAUAAGGUCAUUGCUAAGACAUUAUACAUCAGAUAGACCAAUGUAUAAAAUUUACAAUGAUGAAUGAAAAUGCUAAAUGUAUAUUAUCCAGUAUGUCAAUCUUUAUUGAAUUUCAGUACUUUAGUGCCCCUGUAUAACAUAUGAGAGUAUGGAAAACAGGUAACUCUUUAUCAAUAAAUGUCUACUUCUUAGGGAAUGUAUAUGCAACAGUUACACAAGGGAUGAAACAUAGGAACGUCCCCCCUUCCCCAUAGUAUUUCUGCAACAAAGAGGACUAGUCUAAGAUAAUAACAGAUUGAAGGUGAAACAAAACAAAGACAACAAAGAACCAAGAUUUUUCUUUUAGAUACCGAAAAUCAGAGGUGGUAGCAAGUGGCAACGUGUGCUUAUGUGCUGGGAGACAGUGCUCUGUGACUAUGAUAUUAUUGAGACAGACAGGACUCCAUCGUUCGCGGUCGCAGUGACUCAGACGCAUAGCAAGGGUGUGACUGUGAUGCUGAUGAAAUCUUUAAACGGAAGGAAGUUCUUGGGAAAGACAUUUAGAAAACGAUAGGGAAGACAGGAGACACCAGAAAGAGACAAGUUAGAGAUUUAGAACAGGAAGCGCCUGGAAGUGAAGAAGGGCAUUAUCCAUUGUAAUAGUGAAACAGCCCACAGAAGGAACGGGAAUGAGGAUUCUGGCUCCCUAAGCCUACUCUCAGCUGAAGUUCUACAGUCUUUGGUGACCUCUCACUGAACAGCUUUGGAUUUUUCCUUCUUCCCUGUGGCAAAGGGUGGUAGCCCUUUGCCUUGCUUCUUCUCUCAUCCUGCCCUAUUGGUCCUUGACAGUGAUCUUUAGCCCAGAGACAAAUCUGUCUGAGGAGACUCUGUCGAUGGUGUUAUCUGUCUUAGCUUCCUUGCAGUGGUCUGUGUCAAGCAGACUUGUUAGGAAUGGAAAUACCAUGUCCUUGUGCUUUUUCAACUAGAGUCUAGACUGCCUCUCUCUGCUCCUCCUAACUCUAUUUUAAUGUCUCAGAUUAUCAUACUCCUUCCAAGUCUGUUUUCUCUGUCCUGAAAAGGAACAUGUCUGUGUCAAUGACCCAUUCACUGAUGUUUUAAAUACUUCAAACUUAUCGACACCGUUCUCUUGAAAGGAUGAGAAUAAAGCAAAAAACUCUACCAUAUUUGAUCUUCACCUAUUUCUCAUAAAUGUAUAUAUUGUGUUAUUUAGGAAGUCUAAAACAGAUUUCAUAAACACUUUUGUGUCUCCUUUCUAAAUAUAUUAGGGUAAGCUCUACUUGAUGGUUAAUUGUGUUAUGAACGAAUCAUAUAACAACUUAAGUAAAUAUCAUAUUAAGUAUAGUAAAUAGUUGGUUUAAUCCUCACUGUGAUUUUGGUUGUUUUUUUUUUUUUUAAUUGAAAACUGGCUUUGUAGAACCUGAAGAAAAUGUUACUUAUAGUAUCUUCAAAGCAUUUUGUAAGGAAAGUGUUUUACACAUAAAGUUGUAAUUUUUUCCACUAACACCAUGUUUUAUUUUGCAGAAAAAUCUACCUUAUGCUCAUGAUAUUUGCAUAUUACAUUUAAAGGAACAUUUAGCAUUCAAAAACUGGAGUUAUUAAGCUAAUUAAAAGUUUAAAAAUAUAUAACAACAUUGUCAUGAAUAAAAAUUCAGCAAAAUGCAGUUUUCUUCAUGUUCCAUGUUGAUUUGAUAUUGUUUUGUAUUUAAUAUUGUUUAGCCAUUUUAUACAUGAUUUUUUAUCGUUUUUAUGAAUAACUUUUAGUUGAAAAUCUUGAUAUAAUUGAUGGAGUCUGAACUAACUUUAAAGGAACCGAUUUCUUCUGUUUAAAUACACUGACCUGCUUCAGUCCAAUUACUCUUUCUUGAUGCACAGCAAGAUGACUAUGCAUAGUAAAACUUGUGGGGAAAUGAUCAUGUGAUAAUUUAAUCAAUGUAAGGAUUGAACCAAGUGAUAUGUGUUUUGUCAAUGAGAUAAAAAACAGAUACAGAUUUUAAAUAGCCUUAGUCUUCUCUUACUUAGAAUGUUGGAGACAUAGAUGAUAUUAGGAUAAAGAACUCACAAUGAAACUUUAAAAUAAACCGCGAGGAAAUGAAAUCGCCAGCUUGGUCAUUAUGCACUGUGUUACAGCAGAUGAGAUCUCUGAUAUAGACAACUUACUGGACCACUACAUUUGUUUUUAGGUUCAAUGGUAAAUGGAUGGGGCUCUGCAUCUGAUGAGGAUCGUAACUUUUCUAGUCAUAGAUCUAGUGUAGGUAGCUCCUCAGAUGGCUCCAUCUUUGCCAGCGGCAGCUUUGCAAAAGCAUUGGUGGCAGCAGCAGACAAAGCUGGCUUUAGGCUGGAUGGAACCAGUCUUACGAGAACAGGUUGGUAGACUCCAAGUCAACACUCUUUGCAUGAGAGCAUCCUGUCCUCCAGAUGAUGGCCUUUCCUUCUGUCCUUUCCUUUCAGUGACUCUAACUGCAGACUUUUUAAAAUAUGCAUGAACACAGUAGGAUGGAUGCUCUGUUACCAGAACUCUCUUUUGAUGCUCAUAUUUUGGAGCCAAAAAUAGGCUCCUACCUUGCAUCUCUUCUAUCCUUUCUUUUUUCCUUUCUUAUGGCUCUGCUGGUUAACUGCAGUGUGUUUCCUUUUCAUAUUAAAAAGAAAUAGCCGCAACUAUGAUUGUCAUUAAACUUUCAGCAACUCACACAUUGCAAAAUCCUCACAAAAUCAGUAAUGAACCUGGUGAUUCGAAUGAUUCCGCUUUGAUCUCUACUACCUUACUCUCCCCCAUUUCUUUCUGCAGAGGCACUUUCUGGGAAGGGUUUCCUCUGCAUGGGGUGAAUGGGUCUCAGACUAUCUAACAGCUCAUUUGGCUGAUGGUCCUAAUGGUUUGACUAAGAUUUUUAAUACAGUAAUUUACUAUUUGUUUUAAAGGAUGCUAGCUAAAGAUACAUCAAAGGCAUUUGUGAGUUCAGUAAGAUAUCUAUGGGUGCACUGCUCUUCAAAGUAAAUUCAUUUUGAUUUCAAAGAGCGUAAAUAAUAGCAUCAAAGUCAAAUUGCAUAAUUAUUAUGUGCAUCUCAUGCCACAGGGUGGGGAAAGAUAUGUGCAAUUAACUCUGGUAAUUUAUAAGUAAAUGAGGUUUGGGGGAAGGAGAAAACAACAGCUUUGGCAUGAUAUAUAUGCUCCUAUAUUUGUAUAUAUACUUCUUAACUGCAAACAAUAGGAAGAUAAUAUUCACAUUUACUAUGUUGUUUUAACAAAAUCAACUAAUGAACUAUCAAAUGCAUGCUUCAGUUUAAAUGGCACUC